GUGGGGUGAUGGCCUACCAAGGCGACGACGGGUAGCCGGCCUGAGAGGGCGACCGGCCACACUGGGACUGAGACACGGCCCAGACUCCUACGGGAGGCAGCAGUGGGGAAUAUUGCACAAUGGGCGGAAGCCUGAUGCAGCGACGCCGCGUGAGGGAUGACGGCCUUCGGGUUGUAAACCUCUUUCAGCAGGGACGAAGCGCAAGUGACGGUACCUGCAGAAGAAGCGCCGGCCAACUACGUGCCAGCAGCCGCGGUAAGACGUAGGGCGCGAGCGUUGUCCGGAUUUAUUGGGCGUAAAGAGCUCGUAGGCGGCUUGUCGCGUCGACUGUGAAAACCCGCGGCUCAACCGCGGGCCUGCAGCCGAUACGGGCAGGCUAGAGUUCGGUAGGGGAGACUGGAAUUCCUGGUGUAGCGGUGAAAUGCGCAGAUAUCAGGAGGAACACCGGUGGCAAAGGCGGGUCUCUGGGCCGAUACUGGCGCUGAGGAGCGAAAGCGUGGGGAGCGAACAGGAUUAGAUACCCUGGUAGUCCACGCUGUAAACGUUGGGCGCUAGGUGUGGGGAACCUCUCCGGUUCUCUGUGCCGCAGCUAACGCAUUAAGCG
rnacentral:rRNA from 1 species